rnacentral:rRNA from 1 species
AUUGAACGCUGGCGGCAUGCCUUACUCAUGCAAGUCGAACGGUAACAGGUCCUCGGAUGCUGACGAGUGGCGAACGGGUGAGUAAUACAUCGGAACGUGCCCGAUCGUGGGGGAUAACGAAGCGAAAGCUUUGCUAAUACCGCAUAAGAUCUACGGAUGAAAGCAGGGGACCGCAAGGCCUUGCGCGAACGGAGCGGCCGAUGGCAGAUUAGGUAGUUGGUGGGAUAAAAGCUUACCAAGCCGACGAUCUGUAGCUGGGCUGAGAGGAGGACCAGCCACACUGGGACUGGGACACGGCCCAGACUCCUACGGGAGGCAGCAGUGGGGAAUUUUGGACAAUGGGCGAAAGCCUGAUCCAGCCAUGCCGCGUGCAGGAUGAAGGCCUUCGGGUUGUAAACUGCUUUUGUACGGAACGAAAAGACUCUUUCUAAUAAAGAGGGUCCAUGACGGUACCGUAAGAAUAAGCACCGGCUAACUACGUGCCAGCAGCCGCAGUAA